ACGAUGAACACAAUGAUGAAAAACUUACACAAAAUGGGAAACAGGAAGGGGCUCAUCGGAGGAGGUUACGGGUUUUGCCUGUGGUGGUGGCGUCAGCCUUUGCCCGCAGUUUGCGAUUUACCUACCAUUCCUUUUACUUCAAUUUGGCUAUGGGGUGCUCGAAAUUAAAUUCUGAGCAGAUAGAAGAAUUUUUACCUUUUUUAGCGGUCGGAGGUCGGCUCGUUUUUUCUGGCGACUAGUUC
rnacentral:lncRNA from 1 species